rnacentral:tRNA from 1 species
GGGUCGCUAGCUCAAUUGGCAGAGCAACUGGCUCUUAACCAGUAGGUUGUGGGUUCGAUUCCCACGCGACCCA